CUUGACCAAUAUUACUGUAUAACGCCUUAAAUACAACUGUUAUUCAACCAGAUGAUUAAAGACAAGGUACACAAGUGGAUCGGUGUUAUACAUGUUUAAACGUGUUGUAAAAGUCAGACUUCAACUUAUUGGAAAGAUCCAAGUUGAGAUUGCUAGGUACUAACAAAGGGAAGAUAACUCGAUCCUUGACAGUCAUCAGUGAGUCAAAAUGUCUUUAUGGAGUAUAUACUGGAUAUUACGAGAUGUUGGUCCUACUCCUAUAUUCCUUCUAUUGGUUAUUUUGUUUAUUACGUGGUAUUUAUAUCCAUAUACAAGAAACACAAACCGUCUUCAGGAUGAAUCAGAAUCAGAAAACCAGACUGUAGAUACCGAGACAGAUAGUAACAAUGUGAAUAGUUCGAGAGAUGAAGGAAGUGACGUAAUAAACAAAUCAAUAGCAGCAACAAGUAAAACAGAUAGUUGUCAGAUUAACCAAUCAUACGACAGUAAACCUCCAUCUGGGUCGUUAGAUUUACGAGUUACCUGAUCAUCGUAAACCCAAACAAUUGACACACCAGUAGAAACAUGUUUCCAUGGAAACCAGAUACAACCUUCAUGAUAAUCUAAUUAAAUACAUAUACAAAAUUUGUUUCCUUUUUUAUACUUCAUAUUUUUUGAAGUCCAAUGAAAUUAAAUUUGAGAGUAUAAAAAAGGAUAUUAAAGUAUGAUAAAUGAAAUGAAAUAUGAAAGUAUAAACCUAAAUAACAUUUGAAGUAGAGUAACAAAAUGAAAGUAAAAAAACGAAAUUUGAAGUAUCACGACAAAAUGAAAUUUGAAAGUUUAAAAAUGAAAUAUUAAAGUAUGAAAAACAAAACUUUAAGUUUAUGAAAAAUAAAAUUUGAAGUAUAAAAACUAAAUGAAAUUUGAAGUGUGAAAAAUAAAGCUUGAACUAUGAAAAACAACAUUUGGUGUUCAAAAAAAAAAAUGAAGUAUAAAUUUGAAGUAUUAAAAUGAAAUGAAAAUUUGAAGUAUGAUUUUAUCAGGUUGUUCUAUGUUUUCUACUGGUGGUGAAUUGUUUGGAUUUAAAACCAAAUAUCAGCUGUUUUCAUCAACGAUACCAUUUAUAGUCAUUAUCCGAAGUUACCAUAUUUUAACUGCCUAUCACGGAUUCUUGAUGAUUGAUUUCAGGAGAAUCCUUGUGGAUUAGGCCUUCUUGAUUGGGAUCUUGUUCACUGAUCCUUGUGGAUAAAGUUCUAUUUCCCUGAUCCUUGUGAAUUAAGCCUUAUUCAUUGGGUCCUUAUUCACUGAUCUGAGCGAAUUAGCCCUUAUUCAUUGGUGCCUUCUUCACCGAUCCGUAUCAAUUAAGCCUUAUUCAUUUGGGUCUUAUUCACCAAUCUGUGUCAAUUAGGCCUUAUUCAUUGGGGUCCUAUUUACUCAUCCUUGUGAAUUAGGCCUUAUUUAAUUAUGGUUUAGGGUUAAUAAAAUCUGGUUUUUAAAUAUAAAAUUGAACAGGGAAGUAGAACUUUCACUUCCAUGAAUUGAUUUUAGAUAGGUCCAGGUUUCUUCAUGAUUAUGAGGUUAAAUGAUUUGUAAGAAAACAGCUGAUUUUCUCUUGCCUCUGGUCAACAAACUAUCUGAUAUUAUAUUGAAUUAGGCAUCUGAUCUGCUAGUGAUGUGAAAAUUGAUGCUCAACUAAAUAGGAGUUGUCUCCCUUUAGUCUUCAGGAUGUUAAAAAAAAAAUGGUCUCUGAAAAAAACAUUCCUGCAAGUUUGAGUGUAUAUGUCGUAGAGGAUACUUGAUGGAACGUUCCAAAUUGGAAUUCUCUCAAUCCCAAUAAUAGCUGCAAUCAAAUGAAAAGGAGGAUUUCAGGCUACAACUCUUGUGUUUAAUUACAUUGUGAUUCUACUAGCACCAUCUCAGUUGUCGGGACUGACAUAACUGAAUUCCAUGUCACUCCUCUACAUUUCUGCAAAUUGACAAUCUUACAUGAAUUUUAUUAACUACUUAAUUUUUUUUCGGUUUAUGGAAUUUAGUGGCAAUGUUAAAUUCUAUAAGGGUGACAAAACUUUACAUUAUAGACUUAAGUUAAGAAUUUACUCAACUUUCAAUCACUGUUUAUGAGAAAUAUCUUUGAUCUAGAAACACAACACUUAGCACAUAGUUUCUUAAUGAUGUAUUUGAUGCAUUAAAACAACAAAGGUUUUAUAAAGGGCUAUAUUUUAGUUUAAAUAAGGCGAACGAUUUUAAGUAAAUUCUUAACUUAAGUCUGCAAAUGUUUUGUGAAACCGGUACCUUAACUAGUUGAGUUUUAGUGGGAAUCGGAUUCUGUCUUCUUCAACAAAUGUCAGUUAGUUUUGUUUAUAUGACGACUAAAUGUUUAAAUAAAGCAAAUAUAUUCAUUGGUCUGAUACAACCAGAGAUAAUUGAAACUUUUAUUAAUUAAGUUAUGAAUAAUGAGAUUUUAGACCAGUGAUGAAAAAAAAAUAUUGAUGAAUAAUAAUGUUUUAUUCAAAUUAUGAAUAAUAAUGUUUUAUACAAAUUAUGAAUAAUAACAUUUUGUAUGAAUUGUGAAUAAUAAUAUUUUAUAUAAAUUGUAAUAAAAUUUGUUACAACUUAUAAUGGAAUUUAUUGCAAAUUAUAACAGAAUUUGUUACAAAUUAUAA